GCCCCUUCUCCCUCUCCAGUCUUCUCUGCUUCCCGUCCUCUCAUUUUUUAGGGUUUUUCCCUUUCCUCUUCUCCAUUUCGGUGCCUCCAUUUCUGCUCUUCCCUUCCCUUCCCUUCCCAGUUUCAUUUUCUUUGUUCUUCGUUUGUUGUCCAUUGUUACAUACUUGUCUUCUUUUUUCCCGAUCUUCUGAAUCUCCUCACUAUUAAUUCGUCUCUUACUCCUUGUUUGGGGAUAUGGCUACAAAGCGCCACCAAUUACAGGUUUACGCUUGGCUGCUUCCACGCCAUCUUUGGCAACAAUGAAAUGAUUGUCGGUAUUCAGAGAAAGACGCGAUAGUGGUGGAGCGUUAGAUGUGAAAGUCGCUGCUCAGUGUCACUUACAUGGUUUAGUUCAUCGUGAUUUGAAACCUAAGAAUUUUCUUUUCAAGUCGCCUAAAGUGGAUUCAUCUUUAAAGGCCACAGACCAAAUGUAGUAUCUUGAUCAUCAUUAUAGUUCUACAUUCCAACAUAAUAGUUGGAGCAUAGAGAUUGAGUGGAGUUCAGUCAAUUUUGUGAUUGUAUUGGUAAUGGCAGACAAGGUAUUUGGGCCGAAUGCGACAACGGGGGAGGUUUACGAUAUUGCUACUCAGCCUAUUGUGAAAUCUUCAAUGGAUGGUAUUAAUGGUAUGAAUUGUAUUAUUCUUGAUUAGAACGGGAUUAGUUGAAUGAAAUGGAUUUACAGUUUUUAUUUUAUGUUUGAGCUUUUAAAACGUGUUUAUCGAAUGUUAGUGAUAUUGAAAUGCAAUGUUGAUCAUGCAGGAAAGGUGAGUGGCAGCCUUUGAUAGCCUACAUUUCGUGUUUGAUUAGAUAUUUUCCAUUCCUGGCUCAUGUUUUCUUUGAUUACCUUAGAUUGUCCGUAAUCCAUAGGGAAAAUUGAGAUCGACAAAUGAGUCUAUUUGUGACAGAUAACAACAUAUCUGCAUAUGUUACUCAUUAGGCAAGAAAUUUAUGGAUAAUUAGACAAAUGUGACUUGCCUAUCUAAAGAUAUUAUUAAACGACUUAGAUAAGAAUUGGUAGUCUGGUUGUUUAUUUAUUUCAGAAAUCUUGUAUCCCAAAUGUUACUUUGAACUUUUGAAGCAUUUCUAUCUUUGUUUAGUCUGACUCUCUCAUUACUUGGUGUAAUACUAGAGGACUUGGUGAAGCACUUGCUAGAGAAUUUAUUCCUUCUGGAGACUGAGUGGUUCUUAUUUCACGCAGGUUGUAUUCUGGAACUCUAGGGUAUAGGUCACCUUUUGUUUUUUUUUUUUUUUAAAUGUCAAACUCAUAGUGUGCUACCGUGAAGGUAGUGC